ACCAUCGUCGUCCAGCGGUUAGGAUGCCAGAUUUUCAAGACUUGAAGUCUCUGGAGACCGGGGUUCGAACCCCCGCGAUGGUA